GCUGGGCAUGGUGGGGUUCACCUGUAGCCCCAGCUACUAGGGAGGCUGAGGUGGGAGGAUCGCUUGAGCCUAGGAGGUUUGGGGUGCAGUGAGCCGAGAUGACGCCACUGCACUCCAGCCUGGGCAACAGGGUGAGACCCUGUCUCAA
ensembl:misc_RNA Metazoa_SRP Metazoan signal recognition particle RNA